AGUUCUUGGUUUUACUUAGACAACAACUUUCAGCAGUGGAUGUCUAGGCUCGCACAUCGAUGAAGAACGCUGCGAACUGCGAUACGUAAUGGCGAAUUGCAGAAUUCAGUGAGUCAUCGAAAUUUUGAACGCAUAUUGCACUUCCGGGUUAUGCCUGG
rnacentral:rRNA from 1 species